UGUAGCUCAGUGGUAGAGUGCUUGCCUUGCACUCAUGAGGUCCUGGGUUCAAUUCUCAGCA
rnacentral:tRNA from 1 species